GUACUCGCUUCAGCAGCACAUAUACUAAAAUUGGAAAGAUACAGAGAUUAGCAUGGCCCCUGCGCAAGGAUGACACGCAAAUUCGUGAAGCAUUCCAUAUUUUU
rnacentral:snRNA from 1 species